GAUCUCCCCCUGCGCUCCCUUCUUCCACAUGGAGGACGACGUGGUCUUGCAUACGCUGCAGAAAUGGGAUCUCACUAUGUUGCCCAGGCUGGUCUCAAACUCCUGGACUCAAGCAAUCAAUCCUCCCACCUUGGCCUCCAAAAACAUUGAAAUUACAGUUGAAAUUGGACUUGGAGGUCAGCGAACCAAUAGACUUUGGUUCUGGAGGUCAUCAACAUCUGAUUCAGGAAGCAGCAGAUAAAAGCAUCCAGUCCCAAUCUGGUGAGCGCUACACACCUUCAUCUUCAGCUGGGCCACAAGAAACUCGGAAGAAGCCACGGCCAAAGGACACCGAGCAGUUGAAUACCUGUGUGAUAGAAAUUUCAGAUGACGUCACCCCAGGUGAUAACAAUGCAACUUUAGGCAAUCCUUUCUCAGACGCAUCUGUCCGCAGAGGGAGGCUUUAAAAGUUUGGGUGCUCAAAAAUCCCUGGUUCAUCUCUGCAAUCUUCUCAGCAUUUUUUGCCAUACUUAUUAUACUUGAUUGCUGUGGGAAUCUCCCCCGUCAGGUGCCUGCAGAUUACAUUCUCCUGGGAUUCUUUUUGCCCUGUGGCUGUGUGUACCAGGCUGUGCAUAUUCCGCCUUGCUCCCUAGACCCUGCUCAGAAGCACACCCCUCAAAUCACCUCUUCUGGAUUCCGGGCCUCGCCCCCAUGCCUCGGGAAGCAGGCUUCUGAUUUAUUGUGAAUUUUGUUUUUAGACAGCUCUUCAAGGUCUGCAGCUAGGAGCCGUAUCAGUUUUCUACAAGGCCGAGGAAGUGUCAUGGGCAACAGCUGCAACCACUCUGGUGAUGCUAGCACUCACUUUGUUUGCUCUACAAACAAAAUGGGAUUUUACCUGGCUAAAUGGAGCACUAUUCGUUUUCUGCUUCGUGCUUUUAAUCUAUGGAAUUACCUUAAUCUUCGUGCGAUUAUAGUGGCUGCAUCUAUUAUAUGCUGGACUCGGAACUGUGCUCUUCUCACUCUACUUGGUGAUCGAUGUGCAGCUCAUGCUGGGAGGGCACCGCCAUUAUUCCCUGGACCCUGAAGGGUAUGUUUUUGCUAUCCUGAACAUCUACUUGGACAUCAUCGACCUUUUCAUUUUUAUUCUGCGUCUGAUUGGACGGGGACGGUAGUCACGCAACCAAGGCUGGCUCGUGCGGAGAAGAGGAAGGAGGGGUGCUGUGGAGUGUUGCCGGGCUCAGGCAUGCAGAAGUCACCACUUCAGAAGCUCUUUUAUUUAAAAAAAAAUUUUAAGAAUACUUUUUUUUUGUCAAAUGAAACCAAGAAUUGAGUAGAUGAUAGCUGUAGCUGUUAUAUUUUUAGUUCCAUUGUCACGUAGCAAAACUUUCUGGGGACAUUUCUAAUUUUUAUAGAUUCAAAAGAUGAGUAUCAUAAUUACAUACUUACAAACAUUUGUAUAAUGCCCAUUCCUUUGUUGGAGUUUUCUGAACACUAUUUAAAGCUGUAAACAACAUAUCUCCACGUGAAUACAAUUGAC
ensembl:lncRNA TMBIM7P transmembrane BAX inhibitor motif containing 7, pseudogene